GGCCUCAUCGUAUAGCGGUAAUUACUCCCGACUGUCUCUCGGGCAACACGGGUUCGAGUCCCGUUGAGGUCG
rnacentral:tRNA from 1 species